CUUUGAUCGCUUGUGCCAGUGUUUGGGUGAAUAAAAGUGAGGCGAGCCAAAGGCGCCAACCUCCUCUGCCUACUAGAGGGACGAAAGCCAUGGGGAGUGAAGAGCCAAUGGGGAGAGAAGUACAUGGUAGAUGCUGGUACGAAUUUCCAGGAAGUGUAGGUGAGAAUUCAACACUGAAGCAGGCACAGUACCUGGUCAUCUUUAUUUCCAACACUUUCAUGGUAAAUGUCAAAAGGAAAUGCAGAACUUUGAUGAUGUAUUGAGAGGAGAUACAAACAAUUACAGUAAUUAAAUGACUGAAACUACGGAGGAGAUGGAGGAAGAAUGAAAUGGAAUAAAUUGGCUUAACACAGAUAUUACAGCAACCUAAUAAGUCCACAAAUAGUAAUAAUAGUUACAAUGUUUAUUAAGGUUAUGAACAUACUCUGAAAGUGAGAUAACUUUUUUGUAGCAGAACAAACUUCAAACUUCCAAAAUAAUCUGGGAUAAUUUGUUUCUCUUCUUUAAAACGCUUCAUUCGUUUGUUUCUGUAUUCACUAAAGAUUUAUAAGAUAGCUGCUGUGUGCCAAGCAUUCAUACCAAUGGACAUUGAUACAGCAUGGAAUGAAAAGAAGUGAAGACCUCUCCGUCCUAACUGAGCCUGCGUUCAUGGCUAUGAGCUCGCUUGUUGCUGUUCAUUAUGGCAUGUAGAGUCUGUCUGGUUAAGAUAAAAAUAAAGUUGACCUGGG
rnacentral:lncRNA from 1 species